rnacentral:rRNA from 1 species
UACGUAGGGGGCAAGCGUUGUCCGGAUUUAUUGGGCGUAAAGAGCGUGUAGGCGGCCUGACAGGUCUGCUGUGAAAACUCGAGGCUCAACCUCGAGAUGUCGGCGGAAACCGUCUGGCUAGAGUCCGGAAGAGGAGAGUGGAAUUCCUGGUGUAGCGGUGAAAUGCGUAGAGAUCCGGAGGAACACCAGCGGCGAAGGCGGCAUCCUGGACUGGUACUGACGCUGAGGCACGAAGGUCAGGGGAGCAAACGGG